CAGACUGCAGCAGCCCCUGUCCCUCGCAGCUGACAGAUAGUAGCAAGGUGCUGGCCCGCUAGAAGAGUCUGAAGAAGAGGGAAGGGAUUUGGCACAAGCGUAGUUGUUGAGUGCAGGGAGCUCCACUGUGCUUCUGUAACGGAACCCACGGCUCCCGAGGUCGCCUCUCUUGCCUCACAGGGGCCGCGGUCCCAUCACAGUCCGUCUGCCGCGCAGGCAGCUAGUUUAUCCCGGGGACACAGGCAGUCACGUGAGCCCACGCUCAGCGUGGGGGGCGCUUUUACUGGCCACCUGCCUUGCGCUCGGCGGAGGCAGAAUGUCGUCGGGCCGUUGCAGUUACUGUGCGCGCGGGUCGGUGCUUCUGCACCUGGCCACAAACAUCACCCUCCACCACGCGCAUGCUCUGCCCCAGGGAGCCGCCUGGGCCGGGGUCACGCUCCGCUGGCGCUUAGACCAGGCUAAGAUAACGCUGUAAUUGUUUACUCCUCAAGCUACUCUUCCCUGAUGUGAGGGCGAGAGCAAGUCGAUACAAGUCAGUGGCUAAGCUAUAUUAAGGCUACUGUGACUAUACAACUAUGUCAACAGAUAAAUGAAAGUUUUAAAUAGUUUAAAAGUAGAUGAAAUUGGGCCACAAGAGUGUGUGAUCAUGUCAUGAGAAACAAUAAUGCACAAAUAAUCAGUUCUUUCUCAGCUACUAAACAUUCACUUCGACAUUUGUGUUCGUGCUUGGAGGAAGAUUAGUUAAGCUUUUUGAAAGAACUUACAGGAAACUUUAUGUGAAGAUUGACACUGAAAUCUCUUUCCAUCAGUUUGUGGAAAUCCUACAUCACUGUCUCUUUAAAGAUGGAGCCGAUGCUGCCUCCCGCAGUGCACCGGGCAGAGCAGCUAACGCCACUUCCGGAAUUGCCAGAAGUGGCGCUAAGUUGCGGGACUUCUGUCCAUCGCCUGGAAGCCGACACUACCUCCAUUUUCACUUGAGGAAUUGGAUGAAGAUUUACAUCAAAAAUUGAAACAGAAAUGAAUCUCUUAGUAACUGCUUCAUCAGAAAAUUGCAACUUACAAAUUAUUUUACCAAAUGCAUUCUCCGAGUUUAACCCUUUACAGACAGUACUCCUCUCAUCCAUCACAUACAUACUCCGCAUGUGCCAGAGGGCCACAGAACUCACUGGAGAGCUCAUGUGUUGGAUCUGAAGCCACAUUGGUGGAGCCCCAGUCUCAGAAGUGAAUUUAAUCAGAAGAAUGGGAAGGAUAACUGGAAAUUGUUUAAGAACACUUCACGAGAUGCUGAAAAAGGCACAAUUGAAGAAAGAGGCCAUAUUGGUUAAAAAAAUCAUUCUGGUUGGGAGGAGAGCUGAACCAGUUGUGAAACAUUGUAUAUAAAACAAAUGGAGGAAAAGUGAAGUAAAUGGCAAUAAAUGAAAAUCAGAAGCUAAGAAUUUCUGGGGAAAAUAUGAUAACAUGUGACAUCCUCCAAAGAUAUUAGUAGAGUGGGAAUUCUGUAAUACAGUCGCUCAGGGAUGGGCAAUAAUUUUUGAUGGGAGCCACUCCAAGAUUUUGGA